rnacentral:rRNA from 1 species
AUUGAACGCUGGCGGCAUGCCUUACACAUGCAAGUCGAACGGUAACGGGCCUUCGGGUGCCGACGAGUGGCGAACGGGCGAGUAAUACAUCGGAACGUGCCCGACCGUGGGGGAUAACGAGGCGAAAGCUUUGCUAAUACCGCAUACGAUCUACGGAUGAAAGCAGGGGACCGCAAGGCCUUGCGCGGACGGAGCGGCCGAUGGCAGAUUCGGCAGUUGGUGGGAUAAAAGCUUACCAAGCCGACGAUCUGUAGCUGGUCUGAGAGGAUGAUCAGCCACACUGGGACUGAGACACGGCCCAGACUCCUACGGGAGGCAGCAGUGGGGAAUUUUGGACAAUGGGCGCAAGCCUGAUCCAGACAUGCCGCGUGCAGGAUGAAGGCCUUCGGGUUGUAAACUGCUUUUGUACGGAACGAAAAGCCUUCUUUUAAUACAGGAGGGUCAUGACGGUACCGGAAGAAUAAGCACCGGCUAACUACGUG